CCUACGGGAGGCAGCAGUGAGGAAUAUUGGUCAAUGGCCGGAAGGCUGAACCAGCCAUGCCGCGUGAAGGUCAGUGCCCUAUGGGCGUUAAACUUCUUUUGUGCGGGAGCAAUAAUGGUCACGUGUGGCCAGACGAGAGUACCGUACGAAUAAGCAUCGGCUCACUCCGUGCCAGCGGCCGCGGUAAUACGGGGGAUGCAAGCGUUAUCCGGAUUGAUUGGGUGUAAAGGGUGCGUAGGCGGUGAGGUAAGUCAGCGGUGAAAUGCCCCCGCUUAACGGGGUGAGGUGCCAUUGAUACUGCCUUGCUGGAAUGCGGAUGCCGUGAGAGGAAGGUGUGGUGUAGCGGUGAAAUGCAUAGAUAUCACACAGAACACCGAUUGCGAAGGCAUCUCACGAAUCCGCGAUUGACGCUGAUGCACGAAAGCGUGGGUAGCAAACAGGAUUAGAUACCCCUGUAGUC
rnacentral:rRNA from 1 species